UUUCUUCAAAUUUAAGAUCAGCCACUUAUAACAUGCUUGGAUGCUCACAUAAAGUUUGCAAACAAUAUCAGAGCCAGUCAGAUAAUUCCCAAAGAGUUAAGGACGUCCGAUUCAUCAAAGCAAUAUGAGGUCCAUAGUACCAUGCAAUGAAUUGCCAUCAUACCAGCAUGCUUCAAUUCCAUUUCAUGAAUAGUACUCAAUACAAAUUCCAACCAUACAUCCCAAAUUCACAAAGUUUCCUACAGUUAGUUCUAAUAAUAAGCGUCUUAGAAUUUAACGUGAGCAUAUCAUCUAAAAUGGAGGGUCUUGUACUUGUUGUUGGUUUGGCUUCAUUUCAAACGCUUUUAGGAUCUUUAAAGUUGGGCGUGAGGAUUAAGUGUUAAAAACCAAGACAACCCUUGCUGUUUGAAUCCAUGGAAAGGAUGUCUGUCAUCGACCCAAGUGUUCUGUCUACAGCAAGGGCGAAAAUGCAACUGUACGUAGGCAUGACUUCGACCUCUCCAACUUUCAUCUUUCUAAUUACUUUCGACUUCGUUUGGGUUGAAGCAG
rnacentral:lncRNA from 1 species